UAGGGAAUAUUGCACAAUGGAGGAAACUCUGAUGCAGCGACGCCGCGUGAGUGAUGAAGGACUUCGGUUCGUAAAGCUCUGUUGCAGGGGAAUAAGACAGUGAAUGUACUCUGCGAGAAAGGGUCGGCUAACUUCGUGCCAGCAGCCGCGGUAAGACGAGGGACCCGAGCGUUGUUCGGAAUCAUUGGGCGUAAAGCGGGUGUAGGUGGCUUUGUAAGUCAGGCGUGAAAGCCCGGGGCUUAACCUCGGAAGUGCGCUUGAUACUGCGAAGCUUGAGUGCUGG
rnacentral:rRNA from 1 species